GAUCCUGGCUCAGGAUGAACGCUAGCUACAGGCUUAACACAUGCAAGUCGAGGGGCGAGCAUGUUGGUUGCUUGCAACCAACGAUGGCGACCGGCGCACGGGUGAGUAACGCGUAUCCAACCUUCCGCACACUCGGGAAUAGCCUUUCGAAAGAAAGAUUAAUGCCCGAUGGUUUCCCGAAUCCGCAUGAGAACGGGAAUAAAGAUUCAUCGGUGUGCGAUGGGGAUGCGUCCCAUUAG
rnacentral:rRNA from 1 species